rnacentral:snRNA from 1 species
AUCACUUCUCAGCCUUUUGGCUAAGAUAAAGGGUAGUAUCAGUUCUUAUUAGUACAGUAUCUUUUUUUUUUUCUUUUGAGACAGAGUCUCGCCCUGUUGCCCAGGCUGGAGUGCAGUGGCAUGAUCUCGGCUCACUGCAACCUCC